rfam:Anaerosporobacter mobilis DSM 15930 genome assembly, contig: EJ17DRAFT_scaffold00008.8
UUGCGUAGCAACUCUAGUACUUCUUUGUGUGUGUUAAUUAACCUAGGAAGGCAAGGCAUGGAAGCCGAGCCAGCCUGAGCACGACAGGAUGUCGUGUCGAUGGCGUUUCCGUAACUUUUGAUUACAGAAACGCACACACUUAGAAGUACUUAGUUACGUAGCGU